UGUGACAGAAACGUCUUCCGUGGCUUACAAUGAAAUAAAAAAGCAGCCGUAACGAAGUACUAUGUUUUCUUUGUAUGUCAGUCUUUUUUUUUUCAGGAAGUAGACGGUGCAGCGCGUGGACGCAGUGGUUACAAAGCGGUGCGAGUGCUCCGGGGCUGUGUCGAGGACCAUGCUGGGACUGCUGGUGAUGUCGGCUGCUGUUGCUAUGACAGCAGCUCAGCUCCAGCAGCUGAAGAAGCAGAACAGGCCGCCUGUAUCUGCCCCAUCCAGACUGCAUUGCCUCACUCCAGAAUCUUCUCUUAGUCCUAGAACCUGUUUUGAGUUCUAAAAGGUCUCCCUGGUCUGGAAUCACUUCAGCAUUUCGGAAUCCUCCCUGAGCUCAGGAAUUCUGUCGAAAGGUCUGGGAUUCAAUUGACGAAGCUGACAGGAAUGUAUCCCUUUGAUGUUCUCCGAUUCUUAAAGGGAUUGGUGCCGGAACACCCUGCGGCCCAAAUUACAUCAGGAUCAGCUGGUGGGAUGAAAAGGAGGAGGGGGAGGACAAUGAUGAACCUUCAGUAAUCGUCUCCAUAACCCUGUCAUUUAGAACUGGAGGAGGGAAGGAGGCUGGGGAGAAGCAAUCUCUCCUCCUUUCAGGUCCCUCAAAGGGUCACAUGACUCAUCUCAGCCUUACAACGGCAAGCCUUGCUCUCUAACUGUGGUGAUUAGUGUCAAGCAUAUGUAGUCUCAUCCUGGUUCUGAGAUGUUUAGUGGGAUGUACUCUGACUUUGUGUAUAAAUUAAAGAGAAGCCUCGAAGACUUCUGUCAUCAUUUACUCAGCCUGCCGUUCCAUUCUGAAGAUGAUGUUGUAUUGGACCCCACUGACUUGA